rnacentral:RNase_P_RNA from 1 species
CGAGUCGGCCGGGCGGUCGCGUCGGGGUCCUUCGGAUCCCGCCGAGGAACGUCCGGGCUCCACACGGCAAGGUGGUGGGUAACGCCCACCCGGGGUGACCCGCGGGACAGUGCCACAGAAAACAGACCGCCGGGGGCUUCGGUCCCCGGUAAGGGUGAAACGGUGGUGUAAGAGACCACCAGCGUCCGAGGUGACUCGGAUGGCUCGGUAAACCCCACCUGGAGCAAGGUCAAGAGGAGCCGCCUCACGGCGGCUCUGCGCGGACGAUCGAGGGCUGCCCGCCCGAGUCCGCGGGUAGACCGCACGAGACCGGCGGCAACGCCGGUCCUAGAUGGAUGGCCGCCUCCCCAUGGGCCGCAAGACCCACGGGAGACAGAACCCGGCGUACAGGCCGACUCGUCCG